rnacentral:rRNA from 1 species
AACUUUAUUAGAAGAGACGCAUUUAUUAGAUAAAAAGCCAGUUCAUGCUUUUACAGUAUGAAAAUUGGUGAUUUAUAAUAACUUAGCAAAUCGCAAAGUGAAAACAGGCGAUAAAUCAUUCAAGUUUCUGACCUAUCAGCUUUCGACGGUAUGGUAUUGGCUUACCGUGGCAGUGACGGUUAACGGGGGAUUAGGGUUCGAUUCCGGAGAGGGAGCCUGAGAAACGGCUACCACAUCUAAGGAAGGCAGCAGGCGCGCAAAUUACCCAAUUCUAACAGUUUGAGAGAGGUAGUAACAAGAAAUAACAAUACAAGGCAGUUAAAAUGCUUUGUAAUUGGAAUGAUAGAAAUUUAAACCCUUUUUAAAGUAUCAAUUGGAGGGCAAGUCUGGUGCCAGCAGCCGCGGUAAUUCCAGCUCCAAUAGCGUAUAUUAAAAUUGUUGCAGUUAAAAAGCUCGUAGUUGAAGUUCUGCUGAAAGUAACCGGUCUGCUUUUAAUAAAAGUGGUAUCUUGGUAUGUAUUUAGCAAUGAUGUCCUUUGAAGUGUUUUUUACUUUAUUGUAAUAAAGCAUAUUCAGGACUUUUA